rnacentral:rRNA from 1 species
GGACCGAUGGCGGCGUGCCUAUAAUGCAAGUCGAACGCUUUGUGGUUAACUGAUUUGAAGAGCUUGCUCAGAUAUGACGAUGGACAUUGCAAAGAGUGGCGAACGGGUGAGUAACACGUGGGAAACCUACCUCUUAGCAGGGGAUAACAUUUGGAAACAGAUGCUAAUACCGUAUAACAAUAGCAACCGCAUGGUUGCUACUUAAAAGAUGGUUCUGCUAUCACUAAGAGAUGGUCCCGCGGUGCAUUAGUUAGUUGGUGAGGUAAUGGCUCACCAAGACGAUGAUGCAUAGCCGAGUUGAGAGACUGAUCGGCCACAAUGGGACUGAGACACGGCCCAUACUCCUACGGGAGGCAGCAGUAGGGAAUCUUCCACAGUGGGCGAAAGCCUGAUGGAGCAACGCCGCGUGUGUGAUGAAGGGUUUCGGCUCGUAAAACACUGUUGUAAGAGAAGAAUGACAUUGAGAGUAACUGUUCAAUGUGUGACGGUAUCUUACCAGAAAGGAACGGCUAAAUACGUGCCAGCAGCCGCGGUAAUACGUAUGUUCCAAGCGUUAUCCGGAUUUAUUGGGCGUAAAGCGAGCGCAGACGGUUAUUUAGUCUGAAGUGAAAGCCCUCAGCUCACUGAGGAAUUGCUUUGGAACUGGAUGACUUGAGUGCAGUAGAGGAAGUGGAACUCCAUGUGUAGCGGUGAAUGCGUAAUAUAUGGAAGAACCCAGUGGCGAGGCGGUUUCUGGCUGUACUGACGUUG